GGUUGCGAUCAUACCAGCACUAAUGCACCGGAUCCCAUCAGAACUCCGCAGUUAAGCGCGCUUGGGCGAGAGUAGUACUAGGAUGGGUGACCCCCUGGGAAGUCCUCGUGUUGCAACCCC
rnacentral:rRNA from 1 species